AUCAGCACGACAACAAGCCGGUCCUAACCCUAGAUUGCCACCCGAUUCCCGGCACUCUCGCCACUGGAGGCGCUGAUUUAGACAUCAAGCUUUGGUCAAUAAGUUGGAGCGAAACGGAGAAGAAACUCCCAGUAGCUUCAUAUCAAAACAGCCUUUCUUACCAUAGUUCCGCCGUGAAUGUUGUUCACUUGUCUCGCAUUCUGGCAAGUGAAUACCUAUGUCUCAGUGUUGUAUGUUCCACUCAGAAGUAUAGAGGGGUUUAGAGAAGAAGAAUGAGACAGAAUAAAAGAAACACCAAGGGAAUUAGGAGAUAAUAGAAGAGAAAGAGAGAGAUAAGAAAGAAUUGAGGAUGGAAGAGAGAUUAGGGUUUAGAAGGCCGAGAGGGAAUCAAUUAGGAUAAUUUCAUUCAUCAAUCUUGUUUGUCACUACUGGAUUACUAAGAAACAUAAAAUUCAUUAAUUUAUUUCUUCAAUAAGAGUAGUGCUGAAGUUUCUUUGAUUGGUGAAUGAAACUUGCUAGUUAAACACCAAAUCAGAUUGGCAUGAAUGAAACUUAGUGAUUGGUGAAGGCUUGGUGCUUUGUUAUCUGCUCUACCUACCUAUACCCCAUCUGUCUUCUCUAGAAUUACUGCCAAGCCUAACCUUCUUAGUCUUAUACACAUCCUAUUUCUUCAAAAUUUUAUCAUCCUAAAUUCGCCAUAGUUAUAUUAGAUACUAAGGUGAAUAAUUUGAAUUCAGUUUAUCUAGUUGAUUUAGCCCUGGCAAUCUUGCAUGUUGGAGUUCAAUUGCAGAUGUAUUUCAAUCAAAUUGUCAGAUUCUGUUUAGAGCUUUUCAGGCCAUAUGUUUGUUGCAUGAAUCCUAUGUUCACGACUGGCUUUUCUUGAGUUAGAUUUCACCACAAGGAUGUGCUCGAUCUCCUGUGGUCCAUUGAUGGUGCAUAUCUCAUCUCUGGGUCAGUGGAUAAUUCUUGCAUCAUAUGGGAUGUGAACAAAGGUUCUGUCCAUCAGAUUCUGCAUUCCCAUUGCCAUUAUGUUCAAGGUAUGGCAUGGGACCCAUUGGUCAACUACGUUGCUUCCCUUAGUUCUGAUAGGACUUGUCACAUUUAUGUCAAGAAACCUCAAUCAAAAGGGACAGGUGCUGAGAAGGUAAAUUAUGUUUCUGAGCAUGUUAUUUUGAAGGCCGAACAUCCACUUUCGGAUGAUUCUAAGUUUGCAAAAACCAUCUCUUUCUUGAUGAGACAUUGCCAUCUUUCUUUCGAAGAUUAGCAUGGUCACCUCAUGGAUCUUUUCUGCUUGUUCCAGCAGGUACUAGCCUCAAUACAAUGCUCACUGAAAUGUGAACUUAUGUAGUGUAAUUUUAUGUCCACAAUGGUCGGUUGUGUUCCAAUGGGAAUUGUAUGUUUGUUUCCCCCCUCCCACCUUUUUGUUGGCAAUUAUUGUUGUAUAGACCUCUAGGGGAGGACUGUAACUGAUUUAGUACCAUGACCAUUGGGUUAAGUCUGCUUUGGAGAAAUGUAAUUUGCUCCAUUAUCUUUUAGAUGGACAAUGUCAUAUUCAUGAAUCUCACUAUCAGUUGCAAUUUGGGAAGAUCUAGGUUACUUAAGUAAGGUAAUAAAUCCAAAUGCCAACUUGAGUUAGCACACAUGGAGCCACCCUUGGGUGGUUACCAAUGGUAUGAGAUCAACUAGUUGUGAGAUUCAAGGGCCAUUGUUACGAUGACAUCUUGGGGCUACUGAAGGAAUGGGCCACGUCAAAGAGUAUAUGUGUCAUAUGUGUGAUUUUCUUGUUGGUGAAGAUGCGAAGGCCUCAAGGACAAGAAACUUUGAUACCCUUAAAUCCCGCAUAGGCUAUGACUGGGUAGAUUUAGAGUGCUUAAGUAAGUCGUAUAAUGUUUAUAUCCAUUAUCUGUGCCUUUUGUGAAUAAGCUUUUAGCUGUAUAGUGGUUGCUUAGUUUUAUUUGUUUCUGUGCAUUAUGUGUUGUAGGACCUUAAGUAUGUCAUGCUAUUGUUUUUUGUUUAAUUGAGUUACGCAAACUCAAAAGAGCCCAUUAUUUGCAAUCAUGUUAAUUUUCAUGACUCUUUGAAGUGAAUUUAAUUUAUGAUGAUUUGAAGUAAACGUCAUUUUAAUUUCCAUUGUUGGUAGAUUCGCACAAGACAUGUAUGAUUGUAUUAGGCUAUAAAAUGAGUGUACAGCAACUCUGGAAUUUUAUGGACUAAAGCGUCUAUAGAAUAACAUACUUCAGUUUUAGACCUUUCUGACUUGUGACUACUUCUGCUGGAUUUUUAAGUUAGCAUAGGUGCUGCUGGAAUUCAGUCUGGUAGAUAUUGCUAUCUUGGUUUAGGGCCAUUUUGUUUGAUAGGUUAAGCACCUUUUUUAAGGCUCUUACUCAGGUUGAUUUUGUGCUUUUCUGUCUUUAAUAUAAGUAUCCUAGACUUGCUUUGGAAUCAUGGUAGGUAUGUACAUAUAUGCCUAUACGUACACAAAUAAGAGUAUGCCUAUAAGUGUAUGUAUGCACCUAUGUAUGCAUGUACGUAAGGAUCGUACUUAGUUUGAACUUUUAAUGGGUUUUUAUAAUUUUGUUUAGGAUUUUUCUUGGUGCAUAUAUGUUUUAAAACAAUGAAAGGAUAAUCUGAGAUGGCCCGUUGUAUGUUCCUGAAAGAUGAUGGUGAUUUAGACAUCCCUCUAAAUCCUGACUCCCUACUAUCUAUACUUACCACUAAGGUUUGGGUUCUUUGCUCCUUUUCUUUCGACACAACAAUCUUCCAAUUUCAGGUUCCUACAAAGUAUCACCCACAACAGAAACAGUAAAUACUGCUUAUGUAUUUUCUAGGAAGGACCUUUCAAGGCAAGGCAUAGCAUUUACAUUUUGGUUCUGAAUAUUGCUUUUCUUAAAAUGAUUCGUCUUGUAUAUUAUGGAAUAAAGUCCACCUAAGUUUCGUGUUGGGUUUCAUAGACUGACCCUGUGCUUUUCAGUUCACAAUGGUCUAGUAAAUGAACUAAAUUUGAAGGGAACUUUCUUCUUGCAUUAUUCUCCCAUUUCAUGUUAACACAUGCCUGCUGUACAGCUCCCUGGUGCCUGCAAACCUGUUAUAGCAGUUCGUUUCCACCCUUUGCUUUUCAGCCUUCGGGGGUCAAAUCAACGUACACACACUGGUUACAUUGUAAUUUCAAACAUUGUUGAUUGAUGAUAGUAAUAUGCAAUAGUCUUUGGUGAAUUUGCAACUUGGUUCUUUAACCUUCCCCACCGUAUUGUUUUUGCUGUGGCCACUCUAAAUUCGUUGUACAUUUAUGACACAGGGUGUUCCUCCAAUUGCUAUCUUUGCUGGUUUUCAUAUGUAGCCAUAACAGACAUUGCAUGGUCACCCGACGCUCAUUGUCUAGCAUUGUCUUCCCAAGAUGGUUACUGCACUCUAGUUGAAUUUGAAAAUGAUGAACUAGGGUCGCCUAUCUAUUUAAUAGGUUUCUUGUCCUUGCAUUUUCUAAAUCUAUUUAUCACUAAUUUUUGUAUCCAUCAUUUCUUCCAUUGCAUCGUAACUCCUGUUUCAUUCUGCUAUAGAAGAAAAGAAAGUUGUGGGUGACGAGAAGAGAAGUCCAGUUCACAAGCCAGAGGACAUGGUCAAUGAAGCUGCGAAAAAUGAUAGUCCUGUUGAGAAGGCAGAAAACGUACCGACAGAAGCUAUGGCAGCUAAUAAUCUUAUUACAACAGACAGUGGAAAAUCAAAAGCAGAAUGGAAUCAACUCACAGAAGCAGAAACGAAAGGAAAAGAAGUCGGGGGUGAAGAGAAUGAAUGCCCAGUUGAGAAAGCCAGAUGACAUGGUACUUGAUAGUAUUGUUGCAGAGAAAAUCGGAAAAUCGGAAAAUCAGAAGCAGAAAGGAAUGAAGGUAAAAAUGAAUUACCAAUUAUAAAUAAGCCUACGAAGCGGCGUAUUACACGCAUGGCAAUUGACCCCUGGUAGCUGCCAUUCUCACCUCUAUAAACACUUGGUAGUUAAUGUAAUGUUUCACUUGCCGGGUUCUGAUAUCUCAGCUGAUUUUCAGUCAUAGGAUUCGCUGUGGAGUAAAUUAAGUUGUAGUUACUGAAGCUAGAAAGAUGAUCCUUUUGGUCCUUUUUGGGAUGUCAAUAUUUGUAAAAGCCAAAUCCAUAUAGAAAUGUUUUCACUAUUGAGUAGUAUGUUCCUUUUUCAA